GCAGUAUUGCCACGCUGAUGCGCCCCUCGGAAGGACUCAGCGUGGUGAUGGUGGGCAAUCUCCGCCCUUGCCGGGGCGGGUAUGCCGCUUAGCGUUCGGCGUCCGUGAGUUACCGCUCUCGGGCGCCGUCG
rfam:Streptomyces afghaniensis 772 genomic scaffold STAFG_scaffold1658, whole genome shotgun sequence.